CUCCGUAGGUGAACCUGCGGAGGGAUCAUUACACAAAUAUGAAGGCGGGCUGGAACCUCUCGGGGUUACAGCCUUGCUGAAUUAUUCACCCUUGUCUUUUGCGUACUUCUUGUUUCCUUGGUGGGUUCGCCCACCACUAGGACAAACAUAAACCUUUUGUAAUUGCAAUCAGCGUCAGUAACAAAUUAAUAAUUACAACUUUCAACAACGGAUCUCUUGGUUCUGGCAUCGAUGAAGAACGCAGCGAAAUGCGAUAAGUAGUGUGAAUUGCAGAAUUCAGUGAAUCAUCGAAUCUUUGAACGCACAUUGCGCCCUUUGGUAUUCCAAAGGGCAUGCCUGUUCGAGCGUCAUUUGUACCCUCAAGCUUUGCUUGGUGUUGGGCGUCUUGUCUCUAGCUUUGCUGGAGACUCGCCUUAAAGUAAUUGGCAGCCGGCCUACUGGUUUCGGAGCGCAGCACAAGUCGCACUCUCUAUCAGCAAAGGUCUAGCAUCCAUUAAGCCUUUUUUCCAACUUUUGACCUCGGAUCAGGUAGGGAUACCCGCUGAACUUAAGCAUAUCA
rnacentral:rRNA from 1 species